UAGGGAAUCUUCCACAAUGGGCGCAAGCCUGAUGGAGCAACACCGCGUGAGUGAAGAAGGGUUUCGGCUCGUAAAGCUCUGUUGUUAAAGAAGAACGUGGGUAAGAGUAACUGUUUACCCAGUGACGGUAUUUAACCAGAAAGGAACGGCUAAAUACGUGCCCG
rnacentral:rRNA from 1 species